GACGUAGGGCGCGAGCGUUGUCCGGAUUUAUUGGGCGUAAAGAGCUCGUAGGCGGUUUGUCGCGUCGACUGUGAAAACCCACAGCUCAACUGUGGGCUUGCAGUCGAUACGGGCAGGCUAGAGUUCGGUAGGGGAGACUGGAAUUCCUGGUGUAGCGGUGAAAUGCGCAGAUAUCAGGAGGAACACCGGUGGCGAAGGCGGGUCUCUGGGCCGAUACUGACGCUGAGGAGCGAAAGCGUGGGGAGCGAACAGG
rnacentral:rRNA from 1 species